GGGACGAACGCUUGCGACGUGCCUAAGAAAUGCAAGUCGAACGGGGUAGCAAUACCUAGUGGCGAACGGUCGCGUAACACGUGGGCAACCUGCCCUGAAGCGGGGGACAACAGCUUGAAAGAGCUGCUAAUACCGCAUGUGUAUCGGAAUGGCAUCAUUCAGGAUACAAAGCCGCGAGGCACUUCAGGAUGGGCCCGCGGCCUAUCAGCUAGUUGGUGAGGUAACGGCUCACCAAGGCUUCGACGGGUAGCUGGUCUGAGAGGACGAUCAGCCGGAUUGGGACUGAGAUACGGCCCAGACUCCUACGGGGGGCAGGCAAUUAGGAAUCUUGCACAAUGGGCGAAAGCCUGAUGGCAGCGACGUCGCGUGAAGGAUGAAAUCUUUCGGGAUGUAAACUUCUUUUUCGGGGAAGAAAUAAAUGACGGUACCCGGAGAAUAAGCCCGGCUAACUACGUGCCAGCAGCCGC
rnacentral:rRNA from 1 species